AACAUGGACUCUCAUUCCAUCUUCUAGAGAAUCUUUGAUAACUGAUUGGUGGUUUCAUGUGUUUCUAAUUUGGCAUGACUGACUGAAUGAGAAGUUAUUUCCUUUCAAGAAAAAGGACUCACAGUCAACAAGAUUCCUUGUUUGCUAACCCGUUUUUGGCUGCUACCCUUUGAAUCUCCCUAUUUGUCAACAACAACAAAAAGAGGUUAAAUAUUGUGAUCAUGCUAUCAUCAUUAUGUUGCCUAUAAGACCAAAGUGGGGCAUCUGGUUAUCCCUCCAAAAUAAGGCAAUGGCCACACGUUGAACGCGGAUCAUUCGUUCUGUCAUCGAACUUGACUCAUUCCAUCUUCUGGAUUGCUUAGGAAAGCUGAUUGGUGUUACCUGUGUAACUUCAUUGUCA